rnacentral:rRNA from 1 species
UACGAGGGGGGCAAGCGUUGUUCGGAAUUAUUGGGCGUAAAGAGCGUGUAGGCGGCCAGGUAGGUCGGUUGUGAAAACUGGAGGCUCAACCUUCAGAGGUCGACCGAAACCAUCUGGCUAGAGUCCGGGAGAGGAGAGUGGAAUUCCUGGUGUAGCGGUGAAAUGCGCAGAUAUCAGGAAGAACACCCGUGGCGAAAGCGGCUCUCUGGAACGGUACUGACGCUGAGACGCGAAAGCGUGGGGAGCGAACAGG